rnacentral:lncRNA from 1 species
AUAUCAGGCAUAAUCUAGGAGGAAAUGAUACUAUAUGGAAUUAUUUAUAUGCUGUUAGUUAGCUAAAGCUAAAGAAUAAUACUGUCACAUCAGACCUACAGCAGAUUGUUUUCCCUAGCAGCAAGAUGGAGCACACUAGAGCCCCCAAAGUCCUGAAUUUAAGUAUGUCUUCUGCCUUUCGUUCUGAAGGAUUCUAUGAACUGCACGGCCAAGUGUAACUAUCAGGUUAAUGUCUAAAGAAAACAUGGAGCCUACCCACGGACCCAAGGGAAACUGGUGACAAAGCAAGUAUCUGCAAGGAAAAAAGAUAAUGAAGAUGCUGAAAUAAACAUCAUAUUUCAGAUGAGAUCACAAGUAAUUUUUCUAUGUGGCAAGUUCAGGAGCUAACAACUAAUGGAGUGACACGUGAGGGAAAUUGCAAACCGUUUUAGAACUGCUGGACAAUUCGUCAGCUCUUGCUUCAUUUGUCAUAAAGGCUGAAGGUCAUACACAUGGCAGAAGCCCCCAACCCUGCCUGCAGGAGCUCCUGGUAAAAGCAUUCAGGCAGGGUGAGAUGCAGAGCCUGAGCUGCCACUCGAUGUUGUACACUCUAUAAUUGGCAGCAAAUGUCAGUGACCUGGCAUGAUUCCUGGCUAUGAAGUGGCUCCUUUUUGGAAGAAGAAAUUUUUGCUCCAGUUCCUGAGUGUUUCCUGGAAGGCAUGAUAGCAUUUAUGGG